UGGUCGAUUUUCAUAAUGUUGUCUGGUAUACGGUCAUUUGAUAGAUACGUACAAACAAACCACUUAGCGUGUUUUCUUUUACCUGCCUCUGACGUAAGAGUAAUAAUAAUAACUUUGAUUUAAAAAAAAAACUUCUCAUGCGAUGACAAUGCAGAUAAUUUCAUUUCAGUACUUAAAGCUACACUUGGUGACAUAUAAAUAUAAAGCUAUAUACUAUCCAGUCGUGGACCUCACAAAAAAAAUUACCUGAAAGCGUUGAAAGAUUUACUUGUUCUGAGGGGUGGUGCGAAGUUCUAGAGAAAUGAAGAUUGUUAUUGGUUUUGUCUUGUUAUUUCAUUUUGCUUUUCUCGUUAACGCCAUCUGUGAUAGAAGAUUAGAUUCUGAAGAAAAUCACAAGUGUAGUCAAAAGUUCGCAGAGGAUUUAGUGUCUGCUCAACAAGAGGAUAAUGAGAUAGAAAGUUACAGGUUAUAGUGUUGUGCUUUUGAUAGGGCAGCGUUCUGCAUGAGAGAAGCUGAGCAACACUCCGACUGCUCUAUCACAGACCGACAGAUGGAAACCAGGUUGGCCGGCUUUCACCUGCAGAUUGGAGAAAAAGACUGCAGUCGCUACGGUCCGGAAACUUGUGGUGCCGAAGUUGUUGUAUCAGCUGCUGGACUAAUUCUAACAACUCUCGUUCUUUCGAGAUGGUUUUUCUAUCACUAUUAGAACAAGCAAUAGUUCAUGAAAACAUAAUGUAUGUGGCGCCAUCUACUUUAAACAACUGAAAACAAUUUAUAAUUUACUGUGCAAGUGUUAUUACUUUAAAAAGUCUGUUAAUAACUGUAGUAGACGUAUUAUAGUUUGUACGUUUCAUCAUAGACAAUAUAAUAGUCAGCGGAAAAAGAACUCGAUGAAAAUCGCGGAGAAAAAGUUAAGAUCAUCACUAGUUUUUGCGUGAUGUUCACCCUACAAGUUUCUUUUUUCACAUACACAAUAUUUUUACUUUUCUCCUAAUUGUGUACCUUAAACAUGACUUUACAUAGUUUCAUAAAAAUAUUAUGAUAA